rnacentral:tRNA from 1 species
GGAGGGUUGCGCCGAACGGUAAGGCAGCAGGUUGCUAACCUGUGAUCGUCUCAAAAGCGAUCUGUGGGUUCGAUUCCCACACCCUCCG